AGACCCGAAACCCGGUGAUCUAGCCAUGGGCAGGUUGAAGGUUGGGUAACACUAACUGGAGGACCGAACCGACUAAUGUUGAAAAAUUAGCGGAUGACCUGUGGCUGGGGGUGAAAGGCCAAUCAAACCGGGAGAUAGCUGGUUCUCCCCGAAAGCUAUUUAGGUAGCGCCUCGUGAAUUCAUCUCCGGGGGUAGAGCACUGUUUCGGCUAGGGGGCCAUCCCGGCUUACCAACCCGAUGCAAACUGCGAAUACCGGAGAAUGUUAUCACGGGAGACACACGGCGGGUGCUAACGUCCGUCGUGAAGAGGGAAACAACCCAGACCGCCAGCUAAGGUCCCAAAGUCAUGGUUAAGUGGGAAACGAUGUGGGAAGGCCCAGACAGCCAGGAUGUUGGCUUAGAAGCAGCCAUCAUUUAAAGAAAGCGUAAUAGCUCACUGGUCGAGUCGGCCUGCGCGGAAGAUGUAACGGGGCUAAACCAUGCACCGAAGCUGCGGCAGCGAACGUAUCACCCAAGACAACUUUACGGAGUUGACGAUUGACGGAGCGAAGCGACGUCAAAGCGUUCAUUAAAGUCGAGUUGGCUUAGGGAUACGUUCGUUGGGUAGGGGAGCGUUCUGUAAGCCUGUGAAGGUGUGUCGUGAGGCAUGCUGGAGGUAUCAGAAGUGCGAAUGCUGACAUAAGUAACGAUAAAGCGGGUGAAAAGCCCGCUCGCCGGAAGACCAAGGGUUCCUGUCCAACGUUAAUCGGGGCAGGGUGAGUCGACCCCUAAGGCGAGGCCGAAAGGCGUAGUCGAUGGGAAACGGGUUAAUAUUCCCGUACUUGGUGUUACUGCGAAGGGGGGACGGAGAAGGCUAUGUUGGCCGGGCGACGGUUGUCCCGGUUUAAGCGUGUAGGUGUGUGUUCCAGGUAAAUCCGGUUCACUUUAACACUGAGGCGUGACGACGAGGCACUACGGUGCUGAAGCAACAAAUGCCCUGCUUCCAGGAAAAGCCUCUAAGCAUCAGGUAACAUCAAAUCGUACCCCAAACCGACACAGGUGGUCAGGUAGAGAAUACCAAGGCGCUUGAGAGAACUCGGGUGAAGGAACUAGGCAAAAUGGUGCCGUAACUUCGGGAGAAGGCACGCUGACACGU
rnacentral:rRNA from 1 species